AGCCCAGUGCUAAGCACCAGAGAUAUGAAUAGAAAACUGAGGCAGUUUCUCCUCCUAAAGAGGGCAAAGGGAGACAACACGUGGAGGAGGAGGAGGUUUCACCUGCGAGUCAGAUGAUAAGGCUCCUUAAGGUGAGUAAUGUGUCAUCGGCAAGUCAGAAUAGGUUGCAGCCAGAUUAUGGCUUGGAGCCACAGCAAAUACUUGGAGCCUCUCUAUUGGAAAGCUGGUGGUUUGUGGAUCAAAGACCCCAAAUUAGUAAAUUGUAUUUUAUUUCAGCCUCUCUUACCCACCUUUGUGUUCCCUCAGCAGAUUCCUAAGUGUCCAGCCCCACUGUUUCUCUGCUUGGUAACUGGACCACUCCUCCCACAGUUAUGUAACCUGGACUGAAGGGAAGAUCUGAUUGCAAAUAAAUAAUGAUUGCCUUCGGGGGCAAGUCAGAAGUGCCACAGAGCUGGGGGAAGAACCCUCCUAAUGGAAAUAAUACCAGGAAGAGAAGAGGAAAUGGAUUUGGAGUCAGAUCCUAGCAAUGCUCCUGUGUGACUUGGGGCAAAUCGCUUGAGUUCUCUGAAUAUCGUUCUCCUCAUCUGUGCAGAGCACUCCCCCUUGGACUGCUUCCCAGCUCCCACGUACAUUGGCAGGUUGGGUCCUCAAAUCUUGGCUCAUCUCCUUGAGGUGAUGCUCACGAGGUGAUGUUCAUGAGCCCCCAUGCAAUGUGGUCCUCACUGAUUAUCAGCCAGCCAGAGGUAAUGGGGGCUCCUAAAGAAUAUAACAAGGAAUAACGUGACAGGACAUGCCACAUUUAGGGCAGCUGUGUGCAGGGUAGAUUCGAAUCAGUGGCCCUGGAAAGAGACAAGAAGUAACAAGGACCUAAGGAAAAAAUGGGAAACAAAGUUGAUGCCUGUGAAUUGGAAAAUGGCCAAACCAAGUGGUGAUACAUGAACGAAAGGACCCGGGACUGUAAGAAACAAUGGACGUGACAAAUAUGGAGGAGCAUGACCUGACACAAAGCAAAGUGAGCAGAACUAGGAAAACAACUAUGUAAAUGAAGAUACUAACAACUCAUUCAUAGAGCCUGUAACUGCCCAAGUCCAAGGACCCACCGAGUUUGGCUGCAGAGAAGAGAGCCUCAUUCUGCUCUUUUGCCAAGGUGGUGACCCCUACCCUACAUGUCAUGUCAGACUUUUUUUUCCCUCUAUGUUGGUUAUUUUUGCUGAAUGGUUUUCUUCCUCCAUUUUAUCAGGUGAUAUAAGUGAUUGCUCUCUGGCAGGAGGAGAGGCAAGGGAAACAUGUGGAAGCACCAGCUGAGUGAAAACAAAAGGUAGCAAUAAAAAUUUAUUUAAAAAACGUGUUCUUCCCUGGAAAGUAUAAUGAGCAAGCUCAGUUGUGAGGAAGUGUUGAGAAAAUGCCUCUCCUUUUGUUGAAGAGGUGGGAGACUGUGGAUGUGAAGUAUUCCAGAUACCAUCAGAAAUGGCUACGUGCAGGUUGAUUUUUUAAAAUUGCUUUUUGUCCUUCUCUUUGAAAAUCCUUGUUACAAGGCAUGUCAUAGCACUGUUUAUGUUACUGAGUAGAGGCAGGAGGGGUGUACUUGGAAAUGAAGGCGAUGUAAAACUAAAAUACAAGAUUUCAAAGCCCCUCCGGCUCUUGACUGUGUUUAGGUGAAAAGCUAUGCAGAGCAUGCCAUUCCUUGGGGAGAUGUUAAGACCAAAAAGAAGCAGAUGGGCCCUGGUAUGGGAGACAGGACACUUACAUUCAAGUACCAAUCAAUCAAUACACAAUUAUUCAGUGCCUACUAUGUGCCAGGCAGCAAGUAUGUGAUUAAAAUGUCCUCCCCCUCCAGAAAGCCUUCCCUGAUUUCUUUGGCAAUGACCUUUGCCCUCAGAGAGGUAACCUAGAUUUGGUAUGGGGGAGGGGAGGUCCUGAAUCUGUCCCUAGCCCUGAGGCUCACUAGCUGUGUUACUCUGGGGAAGUAAUUUUAUCUUCGUGGGCCCAGAAAGGGGAUAGUCACCUACCCAAGGUAAUAGAGCUAGUAAGUCAUAGAUAGAGAGCUGAAUUUAGAGUCCAAAACCCUUGGUUCGAAUCCUAUGUAUUCAGUCUGAUGGCUAGGGCCUUUGAGUCCACGCCCAAUACUCUCUCUACUCUCCAUCCAGUACCUCCCCUACUUUCCCCUACAGCACUGAGCCCUGGCUUUGAUUCCUUUUCCAAUAGCCCAAUUCCUCUUGGACCGGAAUCUACCUUUAACUCUCAGUAACCUUGGGCAAACAACUUCCCCCUCGGGGUAGCCAUUUUCUUCUUGGUAAAAUGAAAGAUGAGGACAGAUGAGUUCUAAAACUGCUUACAGCUUGAGGAAAUCCAUGACUGUACUCAUUUCCCAACCUGAAAGAGAAGGAAGUAGGCCUCUGGUCAAGGUUGCUAGGGCUUGGUUGGGUGGGGCAAACCCCCAGAGGGUGACAGUAAUGUCCUCUACUCAGAACCCCAUUGUGUUCCCCUGUUGAAGAAGAGCCAUGAAGAUUUUCAGUAUAUACGGGACCUUUCUUUCAGGCUUAUACCUCCUUUGAGUAUGGAGUCAAGCAUUGAGAUUUCGGGGUCAAAGGGUAUGGCCAGUUUAAUCACUUGGACAUAUUUAUUUUAAUACCAGUUUUGCCCAUGUAUGACCUAGAGGCAAGUUGUUAAGCUUCUCAUCUAGAAAGCAGGCACAGGAAUUCUAACCUGCCCUGCCCAAGUGGAUGACGUCUGGAGCUCAGACUGUCCCCUGGCAUUCCUUCCAUCCACUUCAACACUCCCCAGGGGGACCUCAGGGUUAUAAACUCUAUCUGUCAGGCUGGAAACCAAAGCACAGCACUGGACCCCUUGG